rnacentral:lncRNA from 1 species
ACUCUGUUGCCCAGGCUGGAGUGCAGUGGCGCAAUCUCGGCUCACUGCAACCUCUGCCUCCUGGGUUCAAGCAAUUCUCAUGCCUCAGACUCCUGAGUAGCUAGGACUACAGGCGUGCACCGCCAUGCACGGCUAAAUUUUUUUUUUUUUUUUUUUUUUUUUUAGUAGAGACAAGGUUUCACCAUGUUGGCCAGGCUGGUCUUGAACUCCUGACCUCAAGUGAUCCUCCUGCUUUGGCCUCCCAAAGUGCUGGGAUUACAGGCAUGAGCCACCAUGCCCGGCUGUUGAUUCUCCUUUUUAAAGGCAAGGACGUGGUGACAAAGAGAGGCAAAGCUAUGAUUCUAUUUAAAGGAUCAUUACUGUGAUUUUGAACAAUUUAAGAUUACACUGGGGAUGAGACUUUACUAGUUUAAAUGCUAUUUUUCAUGCAUAUAAUUGAAAGGAACCAAGCUUAGGCUGUCAGAGGAGAUGAGAGAGUGAUUUGGGACCUGAGUGCUCACUUCAGGAAACUCACAGCUACAUCCUCCAUGCUUCGACUUCAAGUUCCCAGACAGGAUGCAGGAGAAGGAACUCGGCUGGUGCAGGCCUUUAGUUUGAAAAAUUUUCAAUGGUUUGAGCCAAACCAAGCACCCCAGAUUACAUGCCAGUGAUAAAACUUAACUGGAUUGUCUAAAACAGUCUAGUCUCUGGGAAAGCCUAAAGUUUUAAGACUCGGCAUGACUAUGUGUCAGAUCCUACACAGGGGACAAGGAUGUAAAGCCAAAUAAGACAUAGUCCCUGCUUCCAAAAACCAUACAAGAACUUGUUUCCUCUGAGGGGAGCAUGCACAUAAACAAAUGAAACAAUGCAGCUGUGACUAAGAUUUGUCCUGGCCCUAGGGGAGCAGAUGGGAGGGCCUCCUAAACCAGCUCAGGGGUGAGAAGGCUUGGGAUUAGGGAGAGUAUUCUGGAGGAAGGGGGCCUGAGCUGAAAUAUGCACUUGGCCCAUCUUGGAGCAUCUGUAGCUACCCAGAGUUAAGAGUAGUGAAGAGCUUGGGCUCUGAAGUCAGCUGGAACUGAGGCUGAAUCUUGGCUCUGCCAGUUAUUAGCUAUGUGACUUAGGUGAGCUACUUGUCCUCUCCAAGUCUCAGUUUUCUGAUCUUAUAGGAAGAUGAUAAUACCAACUUUUUUGGAGGUAUUGUGAUGAAUCAAAUAAUGUACGUGAAGCUCUUAGCUUCACAAGAAGUGCUCAAUUGAUGGCAAUGUUAUUGUUGUUAUAUGUUUGUCUAAGAGUCCCAUUGUUAUAGGACCAACAGGUUCAUGUGCUCCCUGUGCAGUAAUAGACCAAUACACUGAGACAGCAAUGUUUGCAGCAGAGAAAGAGUUUAAUGAUUGCAAGGCAGCCAAGAAAGGAGAUGGGAGUAGACCAUCACAUUCAUCUUCUGGAGGAUUUUUGAGCUGAGGUUUACAAGAUAAUUGUGGAGGGCAAGGGGCUGGAAAACUGGGGUUGUGGAUUGGUUGGGGUAAGGAGGAUGAAAUUAUUAGGAUGUGGAAACUGCAUUCUUUGUGAAGUCAGUUUCUCAUGGGGUCCUUCAGACCAGCUGAUGUCAGUAGUGUCACAUGGUGUGCAGGACCUAAAAGAAUAUCUCAAAUAGAAAAAUUAACAUUUCAUAAUGUUCAAGUUGUUAUCUAUAGAGCAGUGAUGGGGAACUCUAAUCUAGGCUCCAUGUGAUUCUGAGGCAAUAGGCAUCAAACAGCUCUGAGGAAGUGGGCUAGAGAGCAGGCUGGCCUCAUGAUGAAUGCUGAGUGUGCUGCAAGCUGGAUUUAUUUUCAUUUCUCUCCCCCUCUUCUUCCAUGAUUAACUUUAUAAAGUUUAUAGGGAUGGUUUCACCAUGUGAUGGCUGCUGGGCAGGAGCUCAGUCUCCUGUGUGGGCAGCCAGGGCUGUAAUUUCAGAAGAGUCAGAGUCACCAGAUCCCUCUGGAGCCCCUAAGCCCCUCCUUUAUCCUCUCUUGAUGUUAGAAUGCUAUUGACACAAGACAAAGCCUUCCAUUUUGUAAUCCCAUGAGCAUUAACCAGGAAGCCAUCCAGGAGAACACAAUUUCAGAGGAUAAAUCUGCUCCAGGCUUUUUUUUUCCUCAAAGCAGUUUCUGCAGAAACGGUGUUACUACCACGUGGGUCAUGGUGGAAGGUGGAAAGACAGGAAAAGAAUGAGGAGAAAGAAAGUUGGGGACACAGAAUCAAAAUUCCCCUGGAUUUGUCCAGUAUUUCCCCCUCUUGGGGUAAAAGAUUUCCCUGAAUCACUGGUAUUGCUUUCCUGCAAUGGACUCUAGGGUAUUGGCCAGUGACUCGCAAAUUGCAACUGAACCAAGAAGACCUCAUUUCUGGGGUGGCACUGUCCCAGUGAAGAUCCUGGUCCUGCCCAUGUCACUAUCUCUGUCAAUUCCCAGUCCUGACCUUCUGGUCUUUCAUUCUCAUACAGCCUUAAGUUGUGCCGUAACACCUCUCUCCACUUGGAGUUGAUUGCUUUUCUGUCCUUUGAGGCCAAGUGGAGUUAUAUAAAUCACCCAUUGCAGGUGAGCAGGAACAAUAUUUUACUGGAAGGGCUGACCUGUAUCCAAAUAGCCAUGUCUAAGAUGCAAAAGUGGUGGAUAAAAAUAAGCCAUGCUCAUUAGAUGGCUCCCUGCCCUAUAUAGCUGCUCAAAAACCUACGUCUUGUUCUGUCCAAGUGUAAAUAGUCUCCCUAUUUAGAAAUGGCACAGUGGGAGGUAAAUGAAUUGGCUAGGAGCAACCAGUCAUAACGCAUCACGUUGAGAAGCUUAAAAACUCUUUAUGUGAAAAAUACUAAUGCUGUGAGUUGCUAAAAGCCAGGCUGUGUGCUAGGAGCUUUACAUACAUUAUCUUAUUUAAUCCUCCCACCAACUCUGCAAGGUUCUUCUUAUUCUAUUUUACAGAUGAGGAAAGUAGGCUCAGCGAAGUUAGGUUAAGCUUGCUCAGGGUCAUGCAGAUAGUGAUAGUGAAAUUGGCAAUCAAAUAUUGGUCACUCUUGUUGGGACAAAGCCCAGUGUUCUUCUCACUGGACCUCACUGCUAGGGAUUGGCCAGGAUGGUGAGGUUAUCAGGUGCAUUUAGAGACCUGGUCUCUUAUUAUUGUCAAAUGACUCUUGGUCUGAUCCUUGGCUGAAAGGUGUUCUGCAGUGAGGCUGCUUCUAUGGAGAAUAAAGCUUGAAAUUAAAUUCCCUCUUGCCAUGGUCAUGUCCAUCCCUGGCUUCCCUGGAUCUCAGCCCGUUGGCAGGGCUCCUGUACCCUAAAUGAUGGCCCAGGUGGUAAUGACACUAUUGUACCCUGCCUGCCUCUAUGCACUGAUCUUUCCUGGAUUUCCUAAUGAGAAUGGCCAUUGGGAUUUUGAAGCAGUCCGAUAAAUAGUGCCCGUAUUCCCUGUCCAUAUUCUGAAUCAGAAAUAAGGCAGAGAGUAAGGAAGCUGUAGGCCAAAUCUCAUCUUAGUAUAAAUAAGUGCUAGAUUGGAGAAUGUAGUUUACUGCAGGAGCAAAAUGAAUUUCUGUUGCAGGGGAGUAGGAAACAAAAUCCAAGAUGAAGGUUGGCUUGCAGAGGUUUAUUAGGAGUCCUUUUGGGAUCUAUACCAAUAGGAGGGGAAGGAAUGGAAGCAGGAUUGGCAGAGGGAAAAGUCAAGCAGUGCUGCAGUCUUAUCAAAGAUCUCAACCGAUUCUGUGGAGCAUGUUGGGUCUUUAUACUUUUUUUGUUGUUGUUUUAAUCUAGUCUUCAUUUUUACUGAAGUUACCAUGAUGAAAAACUCUCAAUUGUUAUCCUAGGGUUACUACAAACAACAGAUCCUGGCUAUGACCACUGCACCAAUUGCCAGCUACUAUGAGGCAAUGACUUACAAUCCUUCUGGCUUUAAAAAAAUUAUUAACUAAAAAAAAUGCUAAUACUGCUAUAUGUGAAUAUUUUAGUUUGAAAUAGUAUCUGUUCAUAUUUUACUUUGGAAGAUGACUCUCUGACACCCUCCUAAAUUAGUUAUACCGUCUUCUUUAUUUGCAGCACUCACAGUUGUAUUUAUUACUUUUUUCAUUCACAAAUAAAAAUUUUAUACAUUUCUUGUGUA